rnacentral:lncRNA from 1 species
AAAGCAUCUAUCUCUGUCUCCUGACUUCUUGACGCAAUUCAGUAUACUAAUUCAUUUGCUUUUAGUAUUUUUUUCACUAGCAAAACAUACUCUAUUCUCAAUUAUUGAUGUUCUACUCAUAAAUCUUCAUACUAGCAUCUACUCUUUAAUAUGCAUACUUAUAUUCUUUAUCAUCGUAAUUCACAUCUUUAAUUUUCAAACUAAAAUGCCUUUUGAAAUAAAUUAAAAGCAUAAGCAGCGAUCUUUUCCUUUGAUUCUUGUUGCUCUACUCUACUCGGCCAUCACUGACUUCAACUUUAUGAGACUCAUUCUCCUCUCCAACUCACCACAAUAUUUACAUUUGAUUGCACAUACUAUCCAUACUGCUCUUUAUAUUGUUUACGCCCAUACACAGAUUUAAGUAAUCUUAAGUUUUUAGUUACCUCAACUAAAAUAAUCUUUUGAGAUACUUCAACCAUCUCCAUUGCUCUAUAAUUACCACCAUAAAAAAUUAAUUAUCAAUAUGAAAUGACUAUUGUUAUAUAUAUUAAGAUGAAUUCCAAUUAGAUUAUAAAUAUAUAUGAAAUAAUUAUCUGGUUCUAGGGUCAAUCAUCAUAAAUUGCAUAUCAAAAAUUUUCACAGAACCUACAGGUUAUAAUUCCACCAUACUUAUGCUGCGCUACUCUAAUCCAUUCUUUUUGCUAAAUAUUAAAUAUUUAUGAAAAUCAUUCUUAUUUUCAAAUAUCCAUAUUGCACAUGCCAAUACCGUCUUAAAUAUUUGAGUUUAUUUUAUCUUCUUUUGCUUUGAAACUAUAAAUCAUAACCUUAUAUUUUUGUAUUAUUCUAAAAUUUUCAACAUACUUUAAUCCUUAAUGGUUGCAACCUAGUUCUCUAUUCAUUGACAUAAUAUCAUACAAACCAUCAUCCACAUAGGAGUACUAUCUCAUCUUCCACCAAUUGGUUGAUAACAUUCAGUAUAACAAGAAAAUAUAAAGAUUCAUAUAUUUUGCUUAUCACAAAAACUAUCAACAAUAUAAAUAUAUUCAACUUAUUAGGCAAAAAGACCAACAACUCAUAACCAAACUACUUAAAUAAUACUUAAUAGAUAACAUCCAAUAUGGUGAUGACAUAUGACCAUAAAGUGAUUUCACCAUACUAUAAUCAUUAAUAUUACUCAUAAUAUUUAUAACACCAUUGAUGCCAUUUUCAAUUUAUGCUGAAACAUCAUAAAGAUUUUAUUGUAAAAUACCACAUAAAUCAAGAUAUAGGAUUACUAAUAAUUCAUAGUAUCACAAGAAAUUAUAUCUUAAGUUCUGAUAACUAUCUCGCUUACACUCAACCUACAUUGCAUAUAAUUGAACCUAUGUCUUCCAAUACUACAUGUGCCACAAUCCCUAGUAAUCACAAACCCAACUUCUAAUAUCACUUAAGUCACAAUCUUUAAUGAUCAUAACUUGAGCUUUAAUACUAUUUCUGUCAUGCCCCA